GAUGAACGCUAGCUACAGGCUUAACACAUGCAAGUCGAGGGGCAGCAUGGUCUUAGCUUGCUAAGGCCGAUGGCGACCGGCGCACGGGUGAGUAACACGUAUCCAACCUGCCGUCUACUCUUGGACAGCCUUCUGAAAGGAAGAUUAAUACAAGAUGGCAUCAUGAGUCCACAUGUUCACAUGAUUAAAGGUAUUCCGGUAGACGAUGGGGAUGCGUUCCAUUAGAUAGUAGGCGGGGUAACGGCCCACCUAGUCUUCGAUGGAUAGGGGUUCUGAGAGGAAGGUCCCCCACAUUGGAACUGAGACACGGUCCAAACUCCUACGGGAGGCAGCAGUGAGGAAUAUUGGUCAAUGGGCGAGAGCCUGAACCAGCCAAGUAGCGUGAAGGAUGACUGCCCUAUGGGUUGUAAACUUCUUUUAUAAAGGAAUAAAGUCGGGUAUGCAUACCCGUUUGCAUGUACUUUAUGAAUAAGGAUCGGCUAACUCCGUGCCAGCAGCCGCGGUAAUACGGAGGAUCCGAGCGUUAUCCGGAUUUAUUGGGUUUAAAGGGAGCGUAGAUGGAUGUUUAAGUCAGUUGUGAAAGUUUGCGGCUCAACCGUAAAAUUGCAGUUGAUACUGGAUAUCUUGAGUGCAGUUGAGGCAGGCGGAAUUCGUGGUGUAGCGGUGAAAUGCUUAGAUAUCACGAAGAACUCCGAUUGCGAAGGCAGCCUGCUAAGCUGCAACUGACAUUGAGGCUCGAAAGUGUGGGUAUCAAACAGGAUUAGAUACCCUGGUAGUCCACACGGUAAACGAUGAAUACUCGCUGUUUGCGAUAUACAGCAAGCGGCCAAGCGAAAGCGUUAAGUAUUCCACCUGGGGAGUACGCCGGCAACGGUGAAACUCAAAGGAAUUGACGGGGGCCCGCACAAGCGGAGGAACAUGUGGUUUAAUUCGAUGAUACGCGAGGAACCUUACCCGGGCUUAAAUUGCAGAUGAAUUACGGUGAAAGCCGUAAGCCGCAAGGCAUCUGUGAAGGUGCUGCAUGGUUGUCGUCAGCUCGUGCCGUGAGGUGUCGGCUUAAGUGCCAUAACGAGCGCAACCCUUGUUGUCAGUUACUAACAGGUUCUGCUGAGGACUCUGACAAGACUGCCAUCGUAAGAUGUGAGGAAGGUGGGGAUGACGUCAAAUCAGCACGGCCCUUACGUCCGGGGCUACACACGUGUUACAAUGGGGGGUACAGAGGGCCGCUACCACGCGAGUGGAUGCCAAUCCCCAAAACCUCUCUCAGUUCGGACUGGAGUCUGCAACCCGACUCCACGAAGCUGGAUUCGCUAGUAAUCGCGCAUCAGCCACGGCGCGGUGAAUACGUUCCCGGGCCU
rnacentral:rRNA from 1 species